rnacentral:rRNA from 1 species
CGAUAGCGUAUAUUAAAGUUGUUGCAGUUAAAAAGCUCGUAGUUGGAUUUCUGGUAGGAGUGACCGUUCCGAACUUGAUUGUUCGUGUAUUGUGUUUUCUCCAGCCAUCCUUGUGGAGAACUUUUCUUGCAUUAAUUUGUAGGGAUUGGGACCCGCAUCGUUUACUGUGAAAAAAUUAGAGUGUUUAAAGCAGGCAAUCGCUUGAAUACAUUAGCAUGGAAUAAUAAGAUAGGACUUUGGUACUAUUUUGUUGGUUUGCAUACCAAAUUAAUGAUCAACAGGAACAGUUUGAGGAUAUUCGUAUGAACAUGUCAGAGGUGAAAUUCUUGGAUUUUGAUCAGACGAACUACUGCGAAAGCAUUUAUCAAGGAUGUUUUCAUUAA